AAUCCAUAGGUUAAUGAGGCGAACCGGGGGAACUGAAACAUCUAAGUACCCCGAGGAAAAGAAAUCAACCGAGAUUCCCCCAGUAGCGGCGAGCGAACGGGGAGGAGCCCAGAGCCUGAAUCAGCAUGUGUGUUAGUGGAAGCGUCUGGAAAGGCGCGCGAUACAGGGUGACAGCCCCGUACACAAAAGCGCAUGUGCUGUGAGCUCGAUGAGUAGGGCGGGACACGUGGUAUCCUGUCUGAAUAUGGGGGGACCAUCCUCCAAGGCUAAAUACUCCUGACUGACCGAUAGUGAACCAGUACCGUGAGGGAAAGGCGAAAAGAACCCCGGCGAGGGGAGUGAAAAAGAACCUGAAACCGUGUACGUACAAGCAGUGGGAGCACCCUUUGGGUGUGACUGCGUACCUUUUGUAUAAUGGGUCAGCGACUUAUAUUCUGUAGCAAGGUUAACCGAAUAGGGGAGCCGGAGGGAAACCGAGUCUUAACCGGGCGUUAAGUUGCAGGGUAUAGACCCGAAACCCGGUGAUCUAGCCAUGGGCAGGUUGAAGGUUGGGUAACACUAACUGGAGGACCGAACCGACUAAUGUUGAAAAAUUAGCGGAUGACCUGUGGCUGGGGGUGAAAGGCCAAUCAAACCGGGAGAUAGCUGGUUCUCCCCGAAAGCUAUUUAGGUAGCGCCUCGUGAAUUCAUCUCCGGGGGUAGAGCACUGUUUCGGCUAGGGGGCCAUCCCGGCUUACCAACCCGAUGCAAACUGCGAAUACCGGAGAAUGUUAUCACGGGAGACACACGGCGGGUGCUAACGUCCGUCGUGAAGAGGGAAACAACCCAGACCGCCAGCUAAGGUCCCAAAGUCAUGGUUAAGUGGGAAACGAUGUGGGAAGGCCCAGACAGCCAGGAUGUUGGCUUAGAAGCAGCCAUCAUUUAAAGAAAGCGUAAUAGCUCACUGGUCGAGUCGGCCUGCGCGGAAGAUGUAACGGGGCUAAACCAUGCACCGAAGCUGCGGCAGCGACACUGUGUGUUGUUGGGUAGGGGAGCGUUCUGUAAGCCUGCGAAGGUGGCCUGUGAGGGUUGCUGGAGGUAUCAGAAGUGCGAAUGCUGAC
rnacentral:rRNA from 1 species